rnacentral:misc_RNA from 1 species
GUAAGUCUACAACCCGUACCCCUAUUCAAUAUGAAUCGUAACUAACAACCUCUUAGGUAGGUGAACCUGCGGAAGGAUCAUUACCGAGAUAGGGUCCCUCAGGGCCCGAACCUCCCACCCAUUGUUUACUUACCUUUGUUGCUUUGGCGGGUCGCGGAGCGUCAGCCCCCGUCGACUUUGGUGGACGAGUGCCCGUCAGAAGCCCCUCUAAACUCUUUGAAUAAUUGAAGUCUGAGUCUUAAUAAAUUUAAGCAAAACUUUCAACAACGGAUCUCUUGGUUCUG